rnacentral:lncRNA from 1 species
GUUCUUAGGAAUCCAGAGUGCCCUGCUGAAGGUAUGGAGUGCAUUUCAUGCAAGAUGAUUGCGAUGCAAGGGGAGUCAAGUAUAAGCACAAUGCGACCUUUGUAGCGUAGAUCCCUCGAAUCCCAAGUGUAGUGGGCUAUUGCACUUGGAUCCUCCUCCAAUUUUUUUAUGAUGUUGCUGAUCUCUGGAUCCUUCUUCCAUUCUUCCCUAAUGUCCUCGAGGAGACCGGUGGUAGGAAGGGAGAUGGCUGAAACCUCAGCUUGUUCAAGUAGCCGUGAGAGUGCAUCUACAACAACGUUUUCUUUCCCCUUUUUGUAAAUAAUUUCAUAAUCAAAUCCAAGAAGUUUGGUUAUCCAUUUUUGCUGC